GUUGGUAGUAUGUAAAUUUUGUGAUUGCUGCAGGCCUAUUAGAAAUCCCUAUGAUCCCAACAAAAUUGUUGGUGGUUCUUCGAGUGGAUCUGCUACAGUUGUAUCUUCAGGGUUAUGCCAUGUUGCUCUUGGUGUGGAUAGUGGAGGAUCUGUGCGGAUGCCUGCAUCCCUUUGUGGUGUUGUUGGGUUCAAACCAACUUUUGGGUGCAUACCUCAUUCAGGUGUUCUUCCUCUGAACUGGACAGUUGGAAUACUAGCUGCCACCUUAGAGGAUGCAUUUAUCGUUUAUGCUGCUAUUAAUGGAGAACUUCCAUCACAUAAGCCAACCAUUUUACC